UGUGCUAAGGUAGCAUAAUCAUUUGUCUUUUAAAUGAAGACUAGAACAAAAGAUUUCACAUUUUAAUCUUUUUAUUUUUCUUUAAAAUAAAAAUUUUCUAUAGUGUAAAAAGACACUAAUACAAAAGAAAGACGACAAGACCCUAUUGAACUUAACUUUAGUUUAACUGGGGCAGUUAAUUAAUUAUAAUUUUAAUUAUAAUUUUACUUUAAAAAUCCAAUAAAAUUGAUAAUUCAGUUACCAUAGGGAUAACAGCGCAAUUAUCUUUUUAAGAUCUUAUAUAAAAAAUAGAUUACGACCUCGAUGUUGAAUUAAUAACCUAAUUAAAGCAAAUAUUAAAAUAGGAAGUCUGUUCGACUUUUAAAAAAUUACAUGAUUUGAGUUCAGACCGGUGUAAGCCAGGUCGGUUUCCAUCUUCUAAAAUAAUUAUUACAGUACGAAAGGACCUAAUAAUAUAAUAUUAUUAUAUAAUUGGCAGAUUAAUGCAUUAGAAUUAGAAUCUAAUAAAACUGAA
rnacentral:rRNA from 1 species